CAUACGACCGUACCGCAAACCGACACUGGUGCGCGAGAUGAGUAUUCUAAGGCGCUUGAGAGAACUCAGGAGAAGGAACUCGGCAAAUUGACACCGUAACUUCGGAAGAAGGUGUGCCCUAUUAGUGUGUAGUGAACAACGAAGCAUGAAUGGGUUGCAAAAAAUCGGUGGCUGCGACUGUUUAUUAAAAACACAGCACUCUGCAAACACGAAAGUGGACGUAUAGGGUGUGACGCCUGCCCGGUGCUGGAAGAUUAAAUGAUGGGGUGCAAGCUCUUGACUGAAGUCCCAGUAAACGGCGGCCGUAACGAUAACGGUCCUAAGGUAGCGAAAUUCCUUGUCGGGUAAGUUCCGACCUGCACGAAUGGCGUAACGAUGGCCACACUGUCUCCUCCUGAGACUCAGCGAAGUUGAAAUGUUUGUGAUGAUGCAAUCUCCCCGCGGAAAGACGGAAAGACCCCAUGAACCUUUACUGUAGCUUUGUAUUGGACUUUGAACAGAUCUGUGUAGGAUAGGUGGGAGGCUUUGAAGCAGGGUCGCUAGAUCUUGUGGAGCCAACGUUGAAAUACCACCCUGGUGUGUUUGAGGUUCUAACCUAGGUCCAUUAUCUGGAUCGGGGACAGUGCAUGGUAGGCAGUUUGACUGGGGCGGUCUCCUCCCAAAGCGUAACGGAGGAGUUCGAAGGUACGCUAGUUACGGUCGGACAUCGUGACGAUAGUGCAAUGGCAUAAGCGUGCUUAACUGCGAGACUGACAAGUCGAGCAGAUGCGAAAGCAGGACAUAGUGAUCCGGUGGUUCUGUAUGGAAGGGCCAUCGCUCAACGGAUAAAAGGUACUCUGGGGAUAACAGGCUGAUACCGCCCAAGAGUUCAUAUCGACGGCGGUGUUUGGCACCUCGAUGUCGGCUCAUCUCAUCCUGGGGCUGUAGCCGGUCCCAAGGGUAUGGCUGUUCGCCAUUUAAAGAGGUACGUGAGCUGGGUUUAAAACGUCGUGAGACAGUUUGGUCCCUAUCUUCCGUGGGCGCUGCAGAUUUGAGGAAGCCUGCUCCUAGUACGAGAGGACCGGAGUGGACACACCUCUGGUGUAUCGGUUGUCACGCCAGUGGCAUUGCCGAGUAGCUAAGUGUGGAAGAGAUAACCGCUGAAAGCAUCUAAGCGGGAAACUCGUUUCAAGAUGAGAUCUGCCGGGGCCUUGAGCCCCCUAAAGAGUCGUUCAAGACCAGGACGUUGAUAGGUCAGGUGUGGAAGC
rnacentral:rRNA from 1 species